rnacentral:rRNA from 1 species
GACGAACGCUGGCGGCGUGCUUAACACAUGCAAGUCGAACGGAAAGGCCCUGCUUUUGUGGGGUGCUCGAGUGGCGAACGGGUGAGUAACACGUGAGUAACCUGCCCUUGACUUUGGGAUAACUUCAGGAAACUGGGGCUAAUACCGGAUAGGAGCUCCUGCUGCAUGGUGGGGGUUGGAAAGUUUCGGCGGUUGGGGAUGGACUCGCGGCUUAUCAGCUUGUUGGUGGGGUAGUGGCUUACCAAGGCUUUGACGGGUAGCCGGCCUGAGAGGGUGACCGGCCACAUUGGGACUGGGAUACGGCCCAGACUCCUACGGGGGGCAGCAGUGGGGAAUAUUGCACAAUGGGCGGAAGCCUGAAGCAGCAACGCCGGGUGCGGGAUGACGGGCUUCGGGUUGUAAACCGCUUUCGCCUGGGACGAAGCGGGAGUGACGGUAAUGGGUAAAGGAGCACCGGCUAACUACGUG